rnacentral:lncRNA from 1 species
GGACCUUUAGGGGAAGUGGGAUGGAGAGUAUUAUUUUCCUUGGGUCAUUUUUCUUCUGUUGUAUCCUACCUCCCAUUACCCAAGGUACAUGGACCUCAUCAAUGUGAUGACCUAUGACCUGAGGGGUUCCUGGGAUGGUUUCACAGGAGAGGACAGCCCUUUGUUUUCAGGACCCAACGACAAGGGAGACUACAAAUACUUCAGUGUGGAUUAUGCAAUGAACUACUGGAAAAACCAAGAUGCCCUGCUGAGAAACUGAUGGGGGCUUUGGGGCUUAUGCCAGUACCUUCUCUCUCGCCAACCCUCCCACCGUGGCCUGGAUGCUCCCUCCUCCGGCCCAGGGGCUGCCAGAGCCUACACGCAGGAGGCAGGGAGUCUUGCCUACUUUGAGGUUUGUUCCCUCCUGAAAGGAGCCACUGAAGUGUGGAAUGCUCCCCGGAGGUCCCCUGUGCCUACAGGGGAAUCAGUAGAUUGGAUAUGCCAACCCCAAGAGCUUCAUGAUCAAGGCUGAGUGGCUGCUGAAGAACAGGUUGGGGUGGCCAUGGUCUGGAGCAUUGGCUUGGAUGACUUCACAGGCACUUCCUGUGGACAAGGCAAAUACCCUUUCAUGCAUGCCCUCAAGUCUGCACUUGGCGUCUCCACUCCUGGUGAGCAGUGAUGCACCUCCCACCAUCCACAAGAUGACAAAAUGGACAUGGUUAAGGAGGCAUAAAAGACCAUCCAGUGCUCCCCUCAGCCUGGCCUCAAAGGAAGCCCCCUUCAGAUCUUCCACCUGUCCUAGCAUGUCCAUGGGCACUGGCAUUUGUGACUCAGAAAGAAAGACUCAGAUGGCUGCUAUGGGGUAGCCCUUGGGUGGCUGCCCUCAUGAAAGGUCCAUCACUGUUCCCAAGAGUUCUUCUUGUAGAGCUGUCCUGGGAGCCCCUGGAGAACAUCUGGAAGCCUGGGUACGGAGGGGACCACAAACACCUUGUUUCUGUUCUCAUCUGUCCAGCUCCAGCCUUUAGGAACUAUGUGGAAUAAAGACGACAAACCAAGGAAGGGAUGCCAAAGUUAGAUGAUGAGGAAAGGGAUGAAAAAAAGAGAACUCUGAAGGGGUUCAACUGGCCCUUUUUCUGAAGUGAGGAGCAGAGUUACAAUUGGUCUCAGGAUACAAUUUUGCCCCUAACAUAAGGACCAGGGCACAUGCAGAAAGCAGAAGGGAGGGGGCAGGAAACCAUGGGGACAGCCAGUGCUGACUGAUGGACCAUGUCAGGUCUGCCGGUUCUUCCAACUUUCAAGUUACCCUCACAGGUGCUCUUGGAGACCAGGCGUAAUUAGUCUAUUUAAACAUAAAAACUAGGGAGGUAUUAGUCAAAGGGUGCAUGUUUUAGUUAUACAAUAUGGAUAAAUCCUGGAGAUCUAUUGUAGAACACAGUAACUAUUGUUAACAAUGCUUUAUUGUAUACUUUACAAUUUGCUAAAAGGGUAGAUCCUAUGAUACGUGCUCUUAUUGCAAAAGUUAAUAAUAAAGAGGGUGAGAGGAGACUUUUGGAGGGGAUGAACAUGUUUAUGGCAUUGAUUGUGGUAAACAUGAUGUGUACUUAUCUCCAUCUCAUCAAGUUGUAUGCAUUAACGGUUUUUUUAUAUGCCAGUCAUACCUAAUAAAGUGGUUUAAAAGGAA